rnacentral:rRNA from 1 species
AUUGAACGCUGGCGGCAGGCCUAACACAUGCAAGUCGAACGAGUGGCGGACGGGCGAGUAAUGUCUGGGAAACUGCCCGAUGGAGGGGGAUAACUACUGGAAACGGUAGCUAAUACCGCAUACCAUCGGAUGUGCCCAGAUGGGAUUAGCUGGGAGGUGGGGUAACGGCUCACCUAGGCGCCGAUCCCUAGCUGGUCUGAGAGGAUGACCAGCCACACUGGGACUGAGACACGGUCCAGACUCCUACGGGAUGCAGCAGUGGGGAAUAUUGCACAGUGGGCGCAAGCCUGAUGCAGCCAUGCCGCGUGUAUGAGGAAGGCCGUCGGGUUGUAAAGUACUUUCAGCGAGGAGGCGUUACCCGCAGAAGAAGCACCGGCUAACUCCGUGCCAGCAGCCGCGGUAAUAC